rnacentral:rRNA from 1 species
CGGUACAAAGCGUNCCAAAACCGCGAGGGGGAGGCAAUCGCAAAAAACCGUUCUCAGUUCGGAUUGCAGGCUGCAACUCGCCUGCAUGAAGCUGGAAUCGCUAGUAAUGGCAGAUCAGCACGCUGCCGUGAAUACGUUCCCGGGCCUUGUACACACCGCCCGUCACAUCACGAAAGUGGAUUGUACUAGAAGUCUGCAGGCUGACCCGCAAGGGGGGCAGCGGCCCAAGGUAUGAUCCAUGAUUGGGGUGAAGUCGUAACAAGGUAGCC